GGAUGUCAGGAACCAGCCACUCCACGCUCAGACCGUCUCCCCCGGGGGGCUGGAGAAGAGGGAUCAGGCUGCCUCCCGUGUAGUAAAUUCGCUUCCGCGUGGCAUUCGCUGUGGGACCCCAAAUUGCCAAGGUGAAGCGGCCACCAUUCACGGAGUGCCUUCUGUGCACUGUGUCUAUGCGCAUUCUAAGCCUCACAGCAACCCGCCAGGCUUGCUUGCUCCAGUGGAGUCCACUGGAGAUUAUAAGAGACUUACCCAAGGUCCCACAGCCAACGAGCAGAGUUGCUGGGGUGGGAACCUGAUGGAGCCCCAAGCUGGAAUUCCCCCUCCCCUCCCCUAGAUGGCGCCUGUGCAGGAAUGUUGAGAACCCGAUGGGUUCCCUUUGGGAUGGCUUAACUGCAGGCUCUCCUAGGUUCAGGGUCAAGGGAAUGAGGGGUCUGGACAAGGGAACAGGUAGCAUCCGGGCCACUGAUUAGUGGGUACAGUGAGGGGAGGGGGCAGUCUCUGAGGAACUAUGCUGUAAGGGAAAAGUACAUGGGGUUUGGAAUUUGCUGGGUUCCAGUCUAAGCUGUGCUAUGUACAAGCAAAUGACUGUGUAGAUUACUUAACUGCUCUGGACCUCAGUUUCCCUAUCCGUAAAACAGAAUCACAGCUUCCUGGAGAUGAGGUUUGCCCAGCAUACCAUACCGAGGUCUGGCACACGAUAGGUGCUUGAAAGGAUUCCUUGACCCCGUUAGACCCAGAAUUUUCCUCUUCCGAUGCCUCGCCCCUCCAGCUCUGCUCCAGUGUCCACCAAAUGCUGCUCUGUGCAGAAUCCAGGCCCACCCCCCCCCCCCCCGCCCCUUCCCGCCCACCCACACCCUUCCCUACCGGCCAGCUGCUUGAACUGCGACAGGACAGGCUCGAAGAGGUCAUAGUAGACUUGGUGAGAGGCACUGUUGUCUCGGACAUAGAGGAGAUCGUCCACUGACACGGGGUCCGAGGCGCCCUGCCACAGCGUCAGGCUGUACCUGGGGCCCAGAGAGCCAGCUCAGCACCUGCCUCGGCCCAGCAAGGUCCUCAACCCCACUCCUGUGCUCAGAACUGGACCCUAGCUAGGCAGGAAUAGAGCGUCUGGCCUCCAGCUUCCCACCAGCCCCUUCUCCCUGAGAACUACCUCCUCCUCAGGGGCAGAAGGAGCCACAGGGCUUCACGAAUGGAGAGCAAAAGCAGAGACUGAGAAGGACGGAGGGGAUGGCCCGCCCUGCCUCCUCACUGGGAAUGUCUAUUUCUGGUCCUGUCUUAGGGAAGGGACAAGGACAGAAAGGGGUGGAUACAGGGCCAUGGGGGAGAAGUUAGGUGUGGAGGGGGAAGGAGACAGCCUUGAGACUCCUGUGGGAAGUGGCUGAGGAAGGUGGGGCUGGGCAGCUAGGAGCGGACUGCAGGAGUGCAGAUGGGGGGGGGUCCCUCAAUUCCUGAAGGACCAUCCUGGGCAGAAGCUGCAGGUGCAGGCUGUGCAGGGCACAGCUGGCUCCCAUGGGCAGAAGACUUUUCAUUAGGUAGAUGUUAUCCACCAGUGGACUGGCUGCCUCAAAUGGUAGUGAGCAGCCUGUCACCAGAGGUAUACAAGCAAAACCAGGGCCGUAGUAGAAGAUGUGAGCACCAGCGGGUAUUAGACAAAUGUGUUUAAGUGUCUGGAGGCAUCAAUGCCUGGGCGUGGGUUUGGUGGGUCAGGGGCUGAGGCAGGGGCCUGGGAGUUUUCACCUCUGAGAUUGGCCCAGCAGCCAGCUGAAGUGGGGCCAGGCAGCCCGCACCAUGACAGCCCGCACGGGGAAGGUGACCUUCUGUGGCAGUGCUCCCACCAGUCCCUGCAUCUUUGCCACCAUGGCUCUGGUGUAUGUUCUGUUCGGGAACAGGGGCACAUAGAGGGUGGUCCAACCCGGAGACAGGGUGGCCUCAGGAUAGUUCUCCUGGACCAAGGCCAGAAACCUGCAGAGAAAUCAGAGACACUGGUCUUUGAGAGCCUUGCCGUCCCCUUCCCCAUCUUCUGGGAUCCCGUCACCGUGCUAGGAAGUGACAAGACCCGGUGAAUAUAGAAUAUAAGGACAGAAGCAGAGUCCUGAAGAACAUAAGUGACUUAUUUAGGUCCUAUAAAUAAGGCACGGACUUUGGAGUCAGGGGUUCUAGGUUCCAGGUUCAGGUCCUGACUCUGUAACCUUGGGCAGCUCACUCAACCUCUUUGAUUCUCAAAGAUGGCGUCCCUUUUGGGACGGCAGGGCCUCUGAAGCGUCCCCAUCUGGACCGGGGAGACAAGCCAGGGCCCCCAGAUGUGGGAAUUUGGACUCUGCCAGCUUGAGUGAAAUCGACACUCCAAGAAGAUGAGCCAUAUUUAUCUUGGGGCCACUGACUGCAUUGUCCCAACUGCUGCUUUCCAAAUGCAUCUCAGUUUGAGAAUCACAAUAAACACUGGAUGGAUGGAUUGUUGGCUGGCUGGCUGGCUGGCUGGCUGGACAGAUGGGCAGAUGGAUGUUAGAAUCAGAAAGGCCUGGCUUUGAAUCUUUGCUUUGCAAUCAUUAGAGUUAGGCCAGUCGUGUAACUUCAACGAGAUUGUUCUUCUGUUAAUAAAAUGAAAAUAAUAGCACCUACCUCAUUCUCUUGAUAACUCAAGUGCCUUUUGAAACAGGGGCUGGGCACAUAAUAAACAUUCAACAAAUUGA